AGUUAUAAUUUUACUUUGCUACCAACUAAAUUAUUCUUUGCCUAGUCCAGCAACCUCCCGAUAAAACCAAAGUAUGCUUUUGAUUAUAGUUUUUACGCAGCAAGUAUUUAAUUAUACACAGCCUCUGGCUGUUCAAUGAGCCACUUAGGCCACUUAUCUGAUUGAUUCGUACACAGAAAAGCUUGUGGCCAGUGUAUCCAAUGUUUGUGGGCUCUCAGAUUCGCUUCGUUCCCCGUUAAACCGUAAACAAAAUUCCCGCCAAUGUUUAUGUUUCAAUUUUAGAGCUAUACACGUAUGACAGCUGCCAGAAGUCUCUAGCGUAGAAACAGUGUUCAGAUACGCGGUAAAUCAACGCUCCAUUGACGACCCACUUUGCCCAAGGCAUCGACGGAUCAUCAUCUUGGGGAUCGUUAGCAUUAGCACGGUUUCAGCACAUUGGCAGCAGCCUCAACUGGCAUCGAUAGCUCAAUUCCAUCCAUGGCAGUGCAAUGCGAUGCUUCUAACCCAAUUCACGGGGCCAUGCAAAGUUUUUUCUGACAUCUGAUUGAACCGGCUCAGUGCUGGCUCUGGAUUUACGCUCCUCUGGCCACAACAUACACACAUACAGUAUGUAGGUUUUAUGCAUGUAUUUAUAGGG
rnacentral:lncRNA from 1 species